CACGCCCUAAACUUUGUUCUCUAGAUUUGGGGGGAAUCGACCCCUCCCGAGUCGUAGCUAACGCGUUAAGAGAACCGCCUGGGUAGUACGAUCGCAAGAUUAAAACUCAAAGAAAUAGACGGGGGCUUGCACAAGCGGUGGAUCAUGUGGCUUAAUUCGUCGGUAAACGAAGAACCUUACCAAGGCUAGAAAUCUAAUUGAAAGCCCCUAGAAACAGGGGCCCCCGCAAGGCAAUUAGACAGGUGA
rnacentral:rRNA from 1 species